UGGAAUUUGAAAAUUUUGAGUCUUUGGAUUCGGAAAGACGAAGUAUUAGAGGAGGAGGUUAAUGGUGGAGCCAAGCUGCCAGCUAUAUAAUGACCGUAUCACGCGGUCUAAAGGUUUUUUUUAGUCCUUUUUUAGGAGAAAAGAAAAACCUCUAAACUUCUAAUUAAGGUAGGUACAUGAUAAAGCGAAUGUAAAAUUAACUUAAAAUUCUUACCCCAACGCAAUAUAAAAAUUAUUUAUUUAUUAA